CGUUAAGUUGCAGGGUAUAGACCCGAAACCCGGUGAUCUAGCCAUGGGCAGGUUGAAGGUUGGGUAACACUAACUGGAGGACCGAACCGACUAAUGUUGAAAAAUUAGCGGAUGACCUGUGGCUGGGGGUGAAAGGCCAAUCAAACCGGGAGAUAGCUGGUUCUCCCCGAAAGCUAUUUAGGUAGCGCCUCGUGAAUUCAUCUCCGGGGGUAGAGCACUGUUUCGGCUAGGGGGCCAUCCCGGCUUACCAACCCGAUGCAAACUGCGAAUACCGGAGAAUGUUAUCACGGGAGACACACGGCGGGUGCUAACGUCCGUCGUGAAGAGGGAAACAACCCAGACCGCCAGCUAAGGUCCCAAAGUCAUGGUUAAGUGGGAAACGAUGUGGGAAGGCCCAGACAGCCAGGAUGUUGGCUUAGAAGCAGCCAUCAUUUAAAGAAAGCGUAAUAGCUCACUGGUCGAGUCGGCCUGCGCGGAAGAUGUAACGGGGCUAAACCAUGCACCGAAGCUGCGGCAGCGACGCUGAUGCGUUGUUGGGUAGGGGAGCGUUCUGUAAGCCUGCGAAGGUGUGUCGUGAGGCAUGCUGGAGGUAUCAGAAGUGCGAAUGCUGACAUAAGUAACGAUAAAGCGGGUGAAAAGCCCGCUCGCCGGAAGACCAAGGGUUCCUGUCCAACGUUAAUCGGGGCAGGGUGAGUCGACCCCUAAGGCGAGGCCGAAAGGCGUAGUCGAUGGGAAACGGGUUAAUAUUCCCGUACUUGGUGUUACUGCGAAGGGGGGACGGAGAAGGCUAUGUUGGCCGGGCGACGGUUGUCCCGGUUUAAGCGUGUAGGUGUGUGUUCCAGGUAAAUCCGGUUCACUUUAACACUGAGGCGUGAUGACGAGGCACUACGGUGCUGAAGCAACAAAUGCCCUGCUUCCAGGAAAAGCCUCUAAGCAUCAGGUAACAUCAAAUCGUACCCCAAACCGACACAGGUGGUCAGGUAGAGAAUACCAAGGCGCUUGAGAGAACUCGGGUGAAGGAACUAGGCAAAAUGGUGCCGUAACUUCGGGAGAAGGCACGCUGACACGUAGGUGAAGUGAUUUACUCAUGGAGCUGAAGUCAGUCGAAGAUACCAGCUGGCUGCAACUGUUUAUUAAAAACACAGCACUGUGCAAACACGAAAGUGGACGUAUACGGUGUGACGCCUGCCCGGUGCCGGAAGGUUAAUUGAUGGGGUCAGCGCAAGCGAAGCUCCUGAUCGAAGCCCCGGUAAACGGCGGCCGUAACUAUAACGGUCCUAAGGUAGCGAAAUUCCUUGUCGGGUAAGUUCCGACCUGCACGAAUGGCGUAAUGAUGGCCAGGCUGUCUCCACCCGAGACUCAGUGAAAUUGAACUCGCUGUGAAGAUGCAGUGUACCCGCGGCAAGACGGAAAGACCCCGUGAACCUUUACUAUAGCUUGACACUGAACAUUGAGCCUUGAUGUGUAGGAUAGGUGGGAGGCUUUGAAGUGUGGACGCCAGUCUGCAUGGAGCCGGCCUUGAAAUACCACCCUUUAAUGUUUGAUGUUCUAACGUGGACCCGUGAUCCGGGUUGCGGACAGUGUCUGGUGGGUAGUUUGACUGGGGCGGUCUCCUCCUAAAGAGUAACGGAGGAGCACGAAGGUUGGCUAAUCCUGGUCGGACAUCAGGAGGUUAGUGCAAUGGCAUAAGCCAGCUUGACUGCGAGCGUGACGGCGCGAGCAGGUGCGAAAGCAGGUCAUAGUGAUCCGGUGGUUCUGAAUGGAAGGGCCAUCGCUCAACGGAUAAAAGGUACUCCGGGGAUAACAGGCUGAUACCGCCCAAGAGUUCAUAUCGACGGCGGUGUUUGGCACCUCGAUGUCGGCUCAUCACAUCCUGGGGCUGAAGUAGGUCCCAAGGGUAUGGCUGUUCGCCAUUUAAAGUGGUACGCGAGCUGGGUUUAGAACGUCGUGAGACAGUUCGGUCCCUAUCUGCCGUGGGCGCUGGAGAACUGAGGGGGGCUGCUCCUAGUACGAGAGGACCGGAGUGGACGCAUCACUGGUGUUCGGGUUGUCAUGCCAAUGGCACUGCCCGGUAGCUAAAUGCGGAAGAGAUAAGUGCUGAAAGCAUCUAAGCACGAAACUUGCCCCGAGAUGAGUUCUCCCUGAGACUUAGAGUCUCCUGAAGGAACGUUGAAGACGACGACGUUGAUAGGCCGGGUGUGUAAGCGCAGCGAUGCGUUGAGCUAACCGGUACUAAUGAACCGUGAGGCUUAACCUUACAACGCCGAAG
rnacentral:rRNA from 1 species